rnacentral:rRNA from 1 species
GAUGAACGCUGGCGGCGUGCCUAAUACAUGCCAGUCGAGCGAACAGAUGAGGAGCUUGCUCCUCUGACGUUAGCGGCGGACGGGUGAGUAACACGUGGAUAACCUACCUAUAAGACUGGGAUAACUUCGGGAAACCGGAGCUAAUACCGGAUAAUAUAUUGAACCUCAUGGUUCAAUAGUGAAAGACGGUUUUGCUGUCACUUAUAGAUGGAUCCGCGCCGCAUUAGCUAGUUGGUAAGGUAACGGCUUACCAAGGCAACGAUGCGUAGCCGACCUGAGAGGGUGAUCGGCCACACUGGAACUGAGACACGGUCCAGACUCCUACGGGAGGCAGCAGUAGGGAAUCUUCCGCAAUGGGCGAAAGCCUGACGGAGCAACGCCGCGUGAGUGAUGAAGGUCUUCGGAUCGUAAAACUCUGUUAUUAGGGAAGAACAAAUGUGUAAGUAACUAUGCACGUCUUGACGGUACCUAAUCAGAAAGCCACGGCUAACUACGUG